UACGUAGGGUCCGAGCGUUGUCCGGAAUUACUGGGCGUAAAGAGCUCGUAGGCGGUUUGUCGCGUCGGGAGUGAAAACCCAGGGCUUAACCCUGGGCUGGCUUCCGAUACGGGCAGACUAGAGGUAUGCAGGGGAGAACGGAAUUCCUGGUGUAGCGGUGAAAUGCGCAGAUAUCAGGAGGAACACCGGUGGCGAAGGCGGUUCUCUGGGCAUUACCUGACGCUGAGGAGCGAAAGUGUGGGGAGCGAACAGG
rnacentral:rRNA from 1 species